GGAGGUUCAUGGCUCAGUGGUAGAACACCUGCUUUGAACGCAGAAGGUCCUGGGUUCAGUCCCUGGUGCUUUCA